rnacentral:lncRNA from 1 species
CACUGUAAUAGCCCAAAUUUGCCCGGCCUAAAUCAGAAGGAAAUGAACGAAAAAACAAACAACAAAUAAAAAAAUAGUCCAUUUUAAAUGUCCAUUUACAAACUAUUAACCAAUUACAGGCCCAACUCUACCCUAACCCAAAAUACAUUAGCAAUACCCAAACCCGAAUAACCCAACACUAGACCCAAACACUAGCCCAACUUGAAGUGGCCCAUCUACUUGAAACAUUCAGAAACCCUAGGGUUUCUGGAACAUUUCGCGCCGCAGGCAGGUCAGGCUCCUCCCGCACGUGCAGCACCACGCC